UACGUAGGGUCCGAGCGUUGUCCGGAAUUAUUGGGCGUAAAGGGCUCGUAGGCGGUCUGUUGCGUCGGGAUUGAAAACUUACAGCUUAACUGUGAGCGUGCUUCCGAUACGGGCAGACUUGAGGUAUUCAGGGGAGAACGGAAUUCCUGGUGUAGCGGUGAAAUGCGCAGAUAUCAGGAGGAACACCGGUGGCGAAGGCGGUUCUCUGGGAAUAUCCUGACGCUGAGGAGCGAAAGUGUGGGGAGCGAACGGG
rnacentral:rRNA from 1 species